rnacentral:rRNA from 1 species
UACGUAGGGUGCGAGCGUUAAUCGGAAUUACUGGGCGUAAAGCGUGCGCAGGCGGUAAGUUAAGUCUGAUGUGAAAGCCCCGGGCUCAACCUGGGAAUGGCAUUGGAAACUGGCUUGCUAGAGUGUGGCAGAGGGGGGUGGAAUUCCGCGUGUAGCAGUGAAAUGCGUAGAGAUGCGGAGGAACACCGAUGGCGAAGGCAGCCCCCUGGGCCGACACUGACGCUCAGGCACGAAAGCGUGGGGAGCGAACAGG